rnacentral:rRNA from 1 species
UACAGAGGGUGCGAGCGUUAAUCGGAAUUACUGGGCGUAAAGGGCGUGUAGGCGGCCAACUAAGUCCGACGUGAAAUCCCCAGGCUUAACCUGGGAACUGCGUCGGAUACUGGAUGGCUUGAAUCCGGGAGAGGGAUGCGGAAUUCCAGGUGUAGCGGUGAAAUGCGUAGAGUAUGUGGAGGAACACCGGUGGCGAAAGGCGGCCAUCC